rnacentral:tRNA from 13 species
UGACCCGGACGUGAUUUGAACACGCAACCUUCUGAUAUGGAGUCAGACACGCUAUCGUUGCGCCACCGAGUC